rnacentral:rRNA from 1 species
AGAGUUUGAUCCUGGCUCAGAUUGAACGCUGGCGGAACGCUUUACACAUGCAAGUCGAACGGUAACGUGGGGAGGAGCUUGCUCCACCCCGACGACGAGUGGCGAACGGGUGAGUAAUACAUCGGAACGUGUCCGCUCGUGGGGGACAACCAGCCGAAAGGUUGGCUAAUACCGCAUGAGUUCUACGGAAGAAAGAGGGGGACCCGCAAGGGCCUCUCGCGAGCGGAGCGGCCGAUGACUGAUUAGCCGGUUGGUGAGGUAACGGCUCACCAAAGCAACGAUCAGUAGCUGGUCUGAGAGGACGACCAGCCACACUGGGACUGAGACACGGCCCAGACUCCUACGGGAGGCAGCAGUGGGGAAUUUUGGACAAUGGGCGCAAGCCUGAUCCAGCUAUUCCGCGUGUGGGAUGAAGGCCCUCGGGUUGUAAACCACUUUUGUAGAGAACGAAAAGACAUCUUCGAAUAAAGGAUGUUGCUGACGGUACUCUAAGAAUAAGCACCGGCUAACUACGUGCCAGCAGCCGCGGUAAUACGUAGGGUGCGAGCGUUAAUCGGAAUUACUGGGCGUAAAGGGUGCGCAGGCGGUUGAGUAAGACAGAUGUGAAAUCCCCGAGCUUAACUCGGGAAUGGCAUAUGUGACUGCUCGACUAGAGUGUGUCAGAGGGAGGUGGAAUUCCACGUGUAGCAGUGAAAUGCGUAGAUAUGUGGAAGAACACCGAUGGCGAAGGCAGCCUCCUGGGACAUAACUGACGCUCAGGCACGAAAGCGUGGGGAGCAAACAGGAUUAGAUACCCUGGUAGUCCACGCCCUAAACGAUGUUAACUAGUUGUUGGGAUGUAACAAUCUCAGUAACGCAGCCAACGCGAGAAGUUAACCGCCUGGGAAGUACGGUCGCAAGACUAAAACUCAAAGGAAUUGACGGGGACCCGCACAA